GGCCCCAUAGCUCAAUGGACAGAGCAUCGGUCUUCUAAACCGAGUAUGUAGGUUCGAUUCCUACUGGGGCUA
rnacentral:tRNA from 1 species